rnacentral:lncRNA from 1 species
GGUACAAGAAAGAAUAAUACCUGUACCCAAAAAAAUAUAUAAAGAAAAAAUAGUUGAAAUACCUCAAAUCGAAUUAAAAAAUGUUGAUGUUGAAAAAAUACAAAAAAUACCUGAAUAUAUCCCAGAAGUUGUUAAAAAAGAUAUACCAUAUACCCAAGUAGUUGAUAGACCAUUUCAUGUUGAAAAAGUUGUUGAAGUACCACAUGUACAACAUAUUUAUAGAAAUAUCGUUUCACCACAGUAUAGACAUAUACCUAAACCAGUUGAAGUGCCUAUGGCUCAUUAUAGAACUUUUCCUGUUGAAAAAUUAGUUGAUAGAAAUGUACCUGUACCUGUCGAAUUACAAAUUGUUCAGGAAUUUUUAUGCCCAAAAAUUGAAGCUAGAUACAAAGAAAUACCUGUCCCUGUUCAUGUACAACGUAUUAUAGAACAUCCUGUUCCUAAACAAGCUAUGAAUAAUCCAUUAUUGUUACCUUUAUAUUAUAAAGAAAGUAAUAUUCAUGCUGCUCCAAUGAAUGAAAAUGGUGGUACUAACAUGAAUGGUGCUAGUGUGAAUGGUAAUACGGCAGAUUGUUUUUUCCCAUUUAAAUGUAACAGAAAUAGUAUUACCCAGCAAAAUGGACAAGGGGUAAGUUCACCUAUCGAAUUAUUGUUACAUAAUGAUAAAAAUAUUAAAGACAUGCAUAAUAAUAAUAAUAAUAAUAACUAUAUGGAUGGAAAUAACAAUGCAGAAUACAUGAAUAAUCACAACUUAAAUAAUAAUUUUCAAAAUAAAAAUAAUGAAUUAAUUUAUAAUAAUAUGGUCAAUAUGAAUGGUAACAACCAGUACCCUAUGCAACAACAACCUAUGAAUGUAUCAGACAUGCAUCCAUACUAUAAUAAGUUGAAUUCACAAUUGUCCAACUUGAACCAACAACAAAUGUCAAAAAUGCAUUUGCAAGGUACUAACAUGAACUUCCCAACACAAGAAAUAAACCCACAAGUGCCAAAUAUCAACCAACAUAUGUCUAAUUUAAGUCAAAAGGGGUACAGUAUGAAUAAAAGUUAUUAUGGUAGUAAUGAUUUUUUAAAAAAACAAAACGCAAAAAGUUAUGCUAACUUGAUAAAUAAUUCAAAUUCAAAUAUUGGCUACAAUCAAUCUUACAGCACAAAUUUGACAAAAGAUAUGUCACACCAAGAAGAAAACUAAUAAAUUAAUGGAAAAUACAAAGUAGAAAAUGGUAAUAUGUAUUCGAGUAUGAGUGACAAAUGCUUACUACCCAUAUAAGUACAGAAAAAAAAAAAA